GAACUUGUGCAAUACAUCUUACAUACUACAAAAUGAAAUUCAUAUAGAACAUAAUGCCCUACAAUAAUACAAUACAAACUAAUAAUGCAAAUACAUCUGAAUGAAACGGUACAACUGGAAUACAUCUUACAUACUACAUGAAGUCAUCAUCAUCAUCCUCCGUUGAUGCAGCCCUUUUGCCCUUCGACGAUGCAGAACUCUUGCCCUUGGUUGAUACAGAACUCUUGCCCUUCGAGGAUGCAUAACUCUUUCCUUUGGACGAUGCAGAACUCUUGCCCUUCGAUGAUGCAGAACCCGGAAGCGGCGGCAUGAAGAUAUCAUCGUCGUCCUCGCUCUCCUCAGUCCAUAAAAAUGGAUGCUUUUCUGCAGUCCUUCUGAAAGUUUCACUCUUCGGCUCCACCACCUUCUUUCACCUUUCAUGCAACCUAAGUUCUUGACGUACCUCCUCAUAGGUCCUUUCAGGCCACCCAGACCUACGUAAUUGGUGAGCCAACUCAUUCAUUAUGGUGUCACUAUCGGUGAGUUCGUCCCAUGGAACUAUCCUAUUGUCCAUCCUGAAAUCGGUAGCUAGACUAAGCAGAGUGCUGCUCAUCUCAGGGUGAAAACUACGAUCGAAUGGAUAAUGGGACAUCUCGACUACACUACACUGGAAUGCUUAUCCAUCUCUGCCUGAAGGGGGUUUUAUAGAUACAGAGGAAAAAAUGGCGGGAAAGAAUAACUGCGGUAUGGCGGAAAAGGGUUGGCGGGAAGGGAUUGGCGGGAAAAUAAGGCGGGAAGGGAUUGGCGGGAAAAUAAGGCGGGAAGGGAUUGGCGGGAACAUAUGGCGGGAAACGGGUGGCGGGAAGGGGUGGGCGGGAAACGGGUGGCGAGAAAAUACAUUUCAGCAUGAGCCAUGCAACUUCAGCCUAGGGUUGACCAAAAAGUGACUUUUCGGCCUACACUUGACCAAAAAGUCUAUUUCGGCCUAGAGUCGACCAAAAAGUGUCUUUUCGGCCAGGAGAUGGCCGAAAACUAUACUUCGGCCUAAGUGUGGCCGAAAAGUAUUACUUCGGCCUAACUGUGACCGAAAAAUAUUAUUUCGGCCAAAGGAUGGCCGACGGGCUACUAGUUUUGAUUUUUUUGCAUUACGUCCUAUAAUUUCCGAAAUUGCUAUAAAAAAUAACAUAGUUUUGAAAAAAAAUCUCAGGGCUGCCGGUGUGGCUGCUUGGCACCCCGACCCUGUCGCGCAAGCAGAAUUUAUUUCCAAACGCAGUCAUACAUUAAUCCGUCAUAAGAUUAAUGCUCCACUCGACUCUGCUGAUGUUGACCGCAUCACCAGAAAGAUGUUUCAAGGACCUCCCACCCCUGGCAACUCACUGCAGCAUCAAUCCGAUCCCAUGCCCAAGCUAUAUAAAAUUCCGGACGAGCAUACAAGUGUCUCUAAGAAAGUCGAAGCAGCGCUGGCCUCAUAUGCACUGGAGAACAGAGUUAGUUCAUCUUGAGAUUUGUAUCUUUACUUCUAGUUAUCACCCUGACAUGUUACAGUCACUGAUUUGCUCCUUGCCUCUGCCUACUUACAGGAAUCCACGUAUGAUCUUCAUGUUAUUUGUGGCAUCAACCAUAAUGUGUCUGGCCCUGAGUACUGUAUGGAUGUUUUUUUUUUUUGAAUUUUCACCGGGGAGGGAGAGAAUUCCCCCACCUGAAUUGUAUUCAUUUGCCUAUAAGGCUUCACAGCCUUUUGCAGGAUGGGUUCAAGUGAAUCAGAAUUACAGGGGGCACACGAGGAGAAGAGAUAAAACAGAAAACAACACACACCACAACAUAUAAACAGGGGGAACAAAGAGGGAAGACACGCCCUGACACAACACAAAGCACCACCAGUGAGAUCGAAUGGAAUUGGUCAGCCGAGGCCAAGCCAUGGUACUGCACCGUCGGCGCAAUCAGAGGCUUUGCGCAACCGACAUCGCACAACGCCACGACAUCACCUGCGGCCGGGAUGCAUUCGAAAGGUCACGCGAGGCCGAGACGACACCACGAUGCAUGUGUACCGUAGGCAAAGUCGGCAUCGCCAAGCAGACAAGCACAUGACACUGUACCGUCGACGCAAUCGAAAGGCUCCGCAUAUCCGAGACUGCACAACGCCGCAGCACCAUCUGCGCCGCGGGGCACCUUCGAAAGGCUACGCGAGGCCGAGACGACGCCACCGCACCUGUGUGCCAUCGCCAAAGUCGCUUGACAUCACCAAGCAGAGACACACCAAAGAGUGUAGGAGCAUGAACACAAGAAGAACAUCGCUAGAGAGGGGCCCCAACCACCGUCGACCCCAAACCGGCCGCACCACCACCACCUCAAGCUCAUUAGCACAGCCAGCAUUAAGGAGGACGCCAACUUUUAUCUUCAUCUGACCAAGCAAGGCUAAGCGCCUUGAACAUUGGCCGUCUGGUCGCGCCACCCAACAACACCCCGAAAGGGGAGAGGUGGGAACGAGGAAAUCCAAUAUAGGACCACACCUUGCUAACCCGGCUUCCGACAAAAGAAUCACCCCCACUUCAGGGCAUGGCCGAGAAAAGGUCACGAAGACAGAGCACCACUUCUCCGCCACCAUCGCCCACCCGAACCAUCAACGGAACCACCUUGAGCCACUGGUCACCCUAGCCAAGGCAAGCUCAAAGACGAAGCCCAUGGAAGGAAUGUGACGUUUGAGCGUCACCAUCGCCUGACCCGGAAGACCGGGAUCCAAAGUUUCCUCCGGAGCAGACAGUAGGGAAGACGAGCACCGUGACACGACGCCUUCAACAAGGAUACGGUGCCCACAGGCACCGCCGUCGUUGGCUUCGACCGAAAUCCGAGCCCGGCAUUAGCCCGCAGUGUGCGCGACCCAAAAACCUGUAGCCUGCUAGUCCACCCCAAAGCCAAAUCCACACAAACAGAUGAAGCACUCGCUGCCAGCCCACGAACAGAGACCGCCGCGCCAUGCGAAGCCUCCAGAUCGGGAGAGAGAACCGGGGACGAGCGAGAACCGCACCUGCUGCACGCCUAGCCCGCCGCACACCACGUGCAAAGAACACCAGCGCGCUCAUCCGUCCCCAUUCCGAGUCCCAGCUCGUGGGAGAGAGCAAGGACCAUCAGAUCCGCCGCCGAUGGCAACGCACACCCAGGCCCGCCGCCGCCGUCCACAGCCGAGGCAGAUGACCCCGCCGCAGCAAGACGCCGCCCUCACGGCCAAAGGGACUGACCGCUCGCCACACGCGCCGAUGGAGGCACCACAGGCAAGGCCAUCCCGCCGGAUCUGAGAGGCGACGCGCCGACCCAGGACCCACAAAAGCGGGGCACGGGGGCGCAGCACCAGCCGGCCGCGAGCACCGCCGCCCUCCCCACCGCGCCCGGAGCACGAACGGCGUGCGUGGAGGAGCGACACACCGCCGCCGCCACACGAGCCCCCUGCUCGUAGACCGGCCGCUUCGGCGCGCCAGAGCCCCGCCGCCGCUGGAUCCGCGCGGGGCUUUGCCCGACGGAGGUUGUUGGGCGGCGGCGAGGGGGAGGGAAGCCGGUGGUGGGGGGGCGCUGCGGUGACGAGAUGCACCGCCGCCUGAGUCGCCCUGGGGAGGACGACGCGGGGGCUUCCUGUUCGCGUUUUUUCACCGUACUAGGACGGAGGUCGGAAGGUCUUGUGUUGUCCUGUGAAUUUUCCCAAACCACGCCAAG